rnacentral:rRNA from 1 species
UGUGGUCAAGUUUUCAAGGGCGCACGGUGGAUGCCUUGGCAUUGGGAGCCGAAGAAGGACGUGGGAAUCUGCGAUAAGCCUGGUGGAGUCGAUAACCGGACGUUGAGACCAGGAUUUCCGAAUGGGGAAACCCCGUACGCUGUCAUGGCGUAUGACCCGCAGCUGAACACAUAGGCUGCGUGGAGGGAACGCGGGGAAGUGAAACAUCUCAGUACCCGCAGGAAGAGAAAACAAAAGUGAUUCCGUUAGUAGUGGCGAGCGAACGCGGAUGGGGCUAAACCGAGCCAUGUGUGAUAGCCGGCGGGCGUUGCAUGGUCGGGGUUGUGGGACUUUCCAUAUCAGUUCUGCCGGACUGGUGAAGUGAGGUGCAGGCGUAUAGGCGAAUCGGUUUGAAUGCCGGACCGUAGAGGGUGAGAGUCCCGUAGUGCUAAUGCGUGUCUGCCGCUUUGUGAGAGUAUCCCAAGUAGCACGGGGCCCGAGAAAUCCCGUGUGAAUCUGCCAGGACCACCUGGUAAGCCUAAAUACUACCCAAUGACCGAUAGCGGAUAAGUACCGUGAGGGAAUGGUGAAAAGUACCCCGGGAGGGGAGUGAAAUAGUACCUGAAACCGUGCGCUUACAAUCCGUUGGAGCACCCUUGUUGGUGUGACAGCGUGCCUUUUGAAGAAUGAGCCUGCGAGUUAGUGUUACGUCGCGAGGUUAACCCGUGUGGGGAAGCCGUAGCGAAAGCGAGUCUGAAUAGGGCGAGUUAGUGGCGUGAUCUAGACCCGAAGCGAAGUGAUCUACCCAUGGCCAGGUUGAAGCGCGUGUAAGAGCGCGUGGAGGACCGAACCCACUUCAGUUGAAAAUGGAGGGGAUGAGCUGUGGGUAGGGGUGAAAGGCCAAUCAAACUUCGUGAUAGCUGGUUCUCCCCGAAAUGCAUUUAGGUGCAGCGUUGCGUGUUUCUUACUGGAGGUAGAGCUACUGGAUGGCUAAUGGGCCCUACAAGGUUACUGACGUCAGCCAAACUCCGAAUGCCGGUAAGUGAGAGCGCAGCAGUGAGACUGUGGGGGAUAAGCUUCAUAGUCGAGAGGGAAACAGCCCAGAACGCCAACUAAGGCCCCUAAGCGUGUGCUAAGUGGAAAAGGAUGUGGAGUUGCGAAGACAACCAGGAGGUUGGCUUAGAAGCAGCCAUCCUUGAAAGAGUGCGUAAUAGCUCACUGGUCAAGUGAUUCCGCGCCGACAAUGUAGCGGGGCUCAAGCACACCGCCGAAGUUGCGUCAUUCAUAUAUUUGGCAGGCCUUCGUGGUCCAGCCGUGUGGAUGGGUAGGGGAGCGUCGUGUGGGCAGUGAAGUCGCGGUGUAAACCAGCGGUGGAGCCUACACGAGUGAGAAUGCAGGCAUGAGUAGCGAAUGACGGGUGAGAAACCCGUCCGCCGAAUGAUCAAGGGUUCCAGGGUCAAGCUAAUCUGCCCUGGGUAAGUCGGGACCUAAGGCGAGGCCGACAGGCGUAGUCGAUGGACAACGGGUUGAUAUUCCCGUACCGGUAAAAAACCGCCAAUAUUGACCUGGUGAUGCUAACCACCCCAAAGACCCACCAU